AUGGCCCAUGAAAGCAGCUUAUCAUUUCUUUGAGACGUCCAGAGCUUCCAGGCUAACCAAGUGCCAAAAAAGCAUUUGACCUCAUGAAGGAUUACGUGAUGGCGACUGAUCCAUUAAAUUCUUUGUAAGCCGGAAGCCAGGUUCAAGUCCUUCUUAAGGGAUUUAUUUAAAGCAUUGUAAUAAGGUCACAGAUUCAAAAGAGGAGAAGCGUUGCUGUACAUUAUUAAUGAUCCCUGCAGAGCAUUGCAAUUAAAUAACCCAUCUGCUUGUUUGGAUCUAACGCGUGGAGUGUUGACAUUCGUGUGGACAUCUGUUUGAGAAUCCUGGUGGGCACAGAGUGGUAGUUCCAGCUGUGUAAAGAUGCAUUGCUACCACCAGCUUCUCCACUGCCUUUUCCUCAACCAAUGUUGACUGGUCCAGACCAAGAGGUGGUCGUGCUGGAAUCCUGGAAGCCAAGACACAAGUUUGG